UGCGCUACCUGGUUGAUCCUGCCGGUAUCGCAUUUCUUAGUUAAAAGAUUUAUCCAUGCAUGUUUUCGGCACUUUUUAUAGUGCCUGCGGACGGCUCAUUAUAUCAAAGAUAACCUACUCUCAUGGACAGACGGAUAACUAUACUAAUUGUGUGGCUAAUACGUGAUGUAAAAGGUUCUCCUUGUCCCAAUUAUUUUUGCAAUAAACUUGAUUGUUUGUUGGGUUGUUAGGCUUACGCCUUCAGAGAAUGGGUCUUUGUUCUAUCAGCUGUGGACGGUUAUGUAUUGGAUAACCGUGGCUUUGACGGAUAACGGGGAAUUAGGGUUUGAUUCCGGAGAGAAAGCCUGAGAAACGGCUUUCACGGCUAAGGUCGGCAGCAGGAGCGAAAACUUUUCAAAUGAGCAUUGCUUGAAAAGGUGACUAUCUGUAUUAGCAACUGCAAAUGUAGUUUGACUGAAAUGAAAGAUUUUUAAACAAAGUCUUGAGGAGCAAGUUUAGGGCAAGUCUGGUGCCAGCAGCCGCGGUAAUACCAGCUAAGCUAGGAAUGGGUAACAUUGUUGCAGUAAAAACGUUCGUAGUCACUCCUUUUCUCUAGAAUCGUUUUCGAUUUCUUUAGUAGAAUGACGUAGUUAAUAUUAACUACCUUGUCUGCGAGUAAAUUAGAAUGGUUAACUUACAUUUUUUUGGAUAAUAAAGCGCAGUAAAUCUUCAUAUGCUUGAUUUAAAGUGCUGUUUAAGUCUUGGAUACACAGUAAGAAUAAGUGAGGAUACUGGUACUUAACAGCUAGAGGUGAAAUUCAUAGAUUUGUUAAUGUCCAACUAUUGCGAAAGCAUUUAUCUAACUUAUUUUUGGUGAUCAAGAACUAAAGUGUGGGGAUCAAAGAGGAUUAGAUACCCUCGUAGUCCACACCUUAAACUAUGCCAACUAGAGGUUGGUGCAGGUACGAUACUUCAUCAGAACCUUAGCAGAUAUGAAAGUUUUUGGGCUCUGGGGGGAGUACGGUCGCAAGGGCGAAACUUAAAGGAAUUGACGGAACGGCACCACCAGGGGUGGAGCGUGCGGCUUAAUUUGACUCAACGCGGGAAACCUUACUAGGAUAAGACAUUAGAAUGAUUGACAGACUGCUUGAUCUUUCUUGAUUUUAUGGGUGGUGGUGCAUGGCCGGUCUUAGUUGGUGGGGUGACCCGUCUGGUUAAUUUCGGUAACGAACGAGAUCCGAGUUGUUUAGUUGGCGAACUCUAGGGUUUUACUUUAGUGUUGCGUCUCCUAAAUGGACUAUCAGUUUUAAAUUGAGGGAAGUUUCGGGCUAAAUCAGGUCUGUGAUGCCCUUAUAUAUUCUAGGCGGCACGCGCGCUACAAUAGAUUAUAGAUUGUGUCACUUUGACCGAGAGGUAUGGGUUAAUCACGAAGAUAUAUCUGUGAAUGGGAUAGUUUGUUGCAAUUAUCGGACUUGAACUAGGAAUCCCUUGUAAGCACGUUCAAGAAUAGCGUGUUGAAUACGUCCCUGCCGUUUGUACACACCGCCCGUCGUUUCUUCCGACUGAUAUCCAUUGUGAGUUACAGGGAUCGCAAGAAAACUGUUGCAAAUGCUGGAUAUUGGAGGAAGAAAAAGUCGUAACAAGGUUAUCGUAGGUGAACCUGCAGAAGGAUCA
rnacentral:rRNA from 1 species